rnacentral:rRNA from 1 species
UACAGAGGUCUCAAGCGUUGUUCGGAUUCAUUGGGCGUAAAGGGUGCGUAGGCGGCGCGGUAAGUCGGGUGUGAAAUCUUGGAGCUUAACUCCGAAACUGCAUUCGAUACUGCCGUGCUUGAGGACUGGAGAGGAGACUGGAAUUUACGGUGUAGCGGUGAAUGCGUAGAUAUCGUAAGGAAGACCAGUGGCGAAGGCGGGUCUCUGGACAGUUUCCUGACGCUGAGGGCACGAAAGGUCAGGGAGCAAACGGG